CUUGCAGUUUUUAAAUGCAACCUCUCACAUGCAGAGGGGCACAUCUUCUAUUGCUUUGAGGCAGUGAACACAGCUCCUCAGCUUCAGACUGUGAGUGUACUGCUUCUCUUUCAGUUGCUCAUUGAUCUCUUCACGCAGUUCCAUGGAUACAUCCCCUGUGAGAAUUUUUUCCAUCACAGAACCAGCUGCGACGUUCUCCUCAGUGACAAAAUUCUGGAGUUGUAAGAAACCCACACUAAGUUACCAGUGCUAAGCCGAAAUUGGCGAUUGCUCUAAAGAUAUGACAUCGCCGAACAUAGCACCAUCAAUGUCAUAUCAGGUUUGAAAUCAAGGCAUUAUCUUGCCACUUGCAUCAUACUAUGCCAUCUACAUCAUA
rnacentral:sRNA from 1 species